UCAAUUUGAGAGUUUGAUCCUGGCUCAGAACGAACGCUGGCGGCAUGCCUAACACAUGCAAGUCGAACGAAGGCUUCGGCCUUAGUGGCAGACGGGUGAGUAUCACGUGGGAAUCUGCCCAUCAGUACGGAAUAACUAUUGGAAACGAUAGCUAAUGCCAUAUACGCCCUCCGGGGGAAAGAUUUAUCGCUGAUGGAUGAGCCCGCGUCGGAUUAGCUUGUUGGUGGGGUAAUGGCCCACCAAGGCGACGAUCCGUAGCUGGUCUGAGAGGACGACCAGCCACACUGGGACUGAGACACGGCCCAGACUCCUACGGGAGGCAGCAGUGGGGAAUAUUGGACAAUGGG
rnacentral:rRNA from 1 species